AUUCCAGCUCCAAGAGCGUAUAUUAAAGUUGUUGCAGUUAAAAAGCUCGUAGUUGAACCUUGGACAAAGUGCGCGUGGUCUACCGCAAGGUACGACUGCGGCGCUGCGUCUCUUUAGGGGGACUCGAUGCUUCGGUGUCGAGGUAACCCGUGUUACUGUGAAGAAAUUAGAGUGUUUAAAGCAGGCUAUCGCUUGAAUACAUCAGCAUGGAAUAACAAGUUGGACUUUGCUCCUACUUGUUGGUUUGAGGGGAAAAGUAAUGAUUAAUAGGGCCAGUUGGGGGCAUUAGUAUUCAGUAGUCAGAGGUGAAAUUCUGGGAUUUACUGAAGACUAACUAGUGCGAAAGCAUUUGCCAAGGAUGUUUUCAUUA
rnacentral:rRNA from 1 species